rnacentral:rRNA from 1 species
AUUGAACGCUGGCGGCAUGCUUUACACAUGCAAGUCGAACGGCAGCGCGGGCUUCGGCCUGGCGGCGAGUGGCGAACGGGUGAGUAAUACAUCGGAACGUGCCCAGUAGUGGGGGAUAGCUCGGCGAAAGCCGGGUUAAUACCGCAUACGACCUGAGGGUGAAAGCGGGGGAUCUUCGGACCUCGCGCUAUUGGAGCGGCCGAUGGCAGAUUAGCUAGUUGGUGGGGUAAAGGCCUACCAAGGCGACGAUCUGUAGCUGGUCUGAGAGGACGACCAGCCACACUGGGACUGAGACACGGCCCAGACUCCUACGGGAGGCAGCAGUGGGGAAUUUUGGACAAUGGGCGAAAGCCUGAUCCAGCAAUGCCGCGUGUGUGAUGAAGGCCUUCGGGUUGUAAAGCACCUUUGGCGGGAACGAAAAGGACUGUGCCAAUACCACGGUUCGAUGACGGUACCCGCAGAAUAAGCACCGGCUAACUACGUG